AUGGCGAAGCCGGCGCUGGCGGACGGGCUCCGCAUCCCCACUUCGUCGUCGGCGCGUCCCGUGCCGACGGGGCGCAGGCUCCGGGGCCUCGUCGUCAGGGCCGCCACGGUCGUGUCGCCCAAGUAUACUUCUGUGAAACCAUUGGGAGAUAGGGUACUAGUGAAGACCAAGACUACUGAGGAUAAAACUGCUGGAGGGAUAUUGCUUCCAACAACAGCUCAGUCAAGACCACAAGCAGGGGAGGUUGUUGCAGUUGGAGAGGGGAGAAGCUUAGGCAGCAACAUCGUUGAGAUCAGUGUUCCGGUUGGUGCCAAAGUUAUUUACUCUAAAUACGCUGGCACCGAGCUGGAAUUCAAUGAUACCACCCACCUCAUUAUGAAAGAAGAUGACAUCAUUGGUAUUCUUGACACUGAUGACGUGAAAGAUCUGAAGCCACUGAGUGACCGUAUUCUCAUUAAGAAUGUGUAUUCAGAUCCUUUCUUGGUUCCGUACUACAACUGCACACUCAAUUUGCAUAGGCUAUGUUAUUGGCAAAUAAUAUUCAUGGAUUAUGCAUCACGUUUAGAAUAUCGCACUAUGGUUGCAGAGUCUGAAGAGGAAACUGCUGGCGGUUUGCUAUUGACACAGGCGUCGAAAGAGAAGCCUUCCGUUGGAACAGUGGUCGCUGUUGGCCCCGGGCCAUUGGGCGAUGAUGGCAGCAGGACACCAUUGUCAAUCACUCCUGGAAGCAGCGUGCUGUACUCCAAGUAUGCAGGAAGCGAGUUCAAGGGUUCGGAAGGCGAGUACAUUGUUCUCAGGUCAUCCGACGUGAUAGCGGUGCUGUCAUCAUAA
rnacentral:rRNA from 1 species